rnacentral:rRNA from 1 species
AGAACGAACGCUGGCGGCAUGCCUAAUACAUGCAAGUCGAACGAACACUUCGGUGUUAGUGGCGCACGGGUGCGUAACGCGUGGGAAUCUGCCCUUGGGUUCGGAAUAACAGUUGGAAACGACUGCUAAUACCGGAUGAUAUCGAAAGAUCAAAGAUUUAUCGCCCAGGGAUGAGCCCGCGUAGGAUUAGCUAGUUGGUGAGGUAAAGGCUCACCAAGGCGACGAUCCUUAGCUGGUCUGAGAGGAUGAUCAGCCACACUGGGACUGAGACACGGCCCAGACUCCUACGGGAGGCAGCAGGUAGGGAAUAGUUGGACAAGUGGGCGCAAGCC